UAGAGUAGGUUUUCAUGCGUGAAGUGCCGGGAGGACGGGGAGUUGCCUUUCGGACGAAAGCAACUUUGCUGCGGUGUGAAAAUCGCAUCCCGCUG
rnacentral:ncRNA from 1 species